AACGAACGCUGGCGGCAGGCUUAACACAUGCAAGUCGAACGCACCUUUCGGGGUGAGUGGCCGACGGGUGAGUAACGCGUGGGAAUCUACACUUCUCUACGGGAUAGCUCCGGGACACUGGAAUUAAUACCGUAUACGUCCUGAUGGAGAAAGAUUUAUCGGGGAAGGAUGAGCCCGCGUUGAAUUAGCUAGUUGGUGGGGUAAAGGCCUACCAAGGCGACGAUCCAUAGCUGGUCUAAGAGGAUGAUCAGCCACAUUGGGACUGAGACACGGCCCAAACUCCUACGGGAGGCAGCAGUGGGUAAUAGUGGACAAUGGGCGCAAGCCUGAUCCAGCCAUGCCGCGUGAGUGAUGAAGGCAGUAGGGUUGUAAAGCUCUUUCAGUGGGGACGAUAAUGACGGUACCCACAGAAGAAGCCCCGGCUAACUUCGUG
rnacentral:rRNA from 1 species